UAGAGGGAGACUGCGGGGCUGAGCGGAAGGGGCGGAAAGGGUGUGCUCCUUCUUGCCUGCUUCCUGUUGGCUUCCAAUCUGUUUCCUAUUCCUGUGACCAGCGCUGUGGUGAAGCUUUUCCGUAAUGCGACGGAGUUCCUUCCCGGACUCGUAAUUGAACCUCGUUUACAUUUUUUUCUGACAUUUCCAGAUAUUGUGCGCCACUUCGGAGGUAGCAGCACCAGACACAUCUCCUUUUUGUUGAUUUAUUAUGUUUUUUUGUUUUUGUUUUUUGUUUUUGGAAAGGAGCAGACUAAGGAGGCAAAAAAAAAAAAAAAAAAAAAAAAAAAAAAAAAAAAAGCCAAGAGGCAUGGAACAGAAAAUACAGAUGCAAGCUGUUUUGCUAAUUUUUAAGUAACCACAACACGGUAGGACAAAGAAUGCCCUGCACAAAGCAGGGCAAUAAAGGUUCACGAACCAGAGAUCGAAGUGUUCUCUUAGGCAAGCUUCAAGAUCUCAGCCUCUGUGUGGUUUCUGAACCCUGAAUGGACCCUGAGUAAUAUAUAACCUUCAGAGUUACGCCUCUAUCAACCCCAGUUGUACUCCAUGGAAACUGGAAGCCUUCAUUAGAAAGGUGAAGGGUGUUUGGAAGACAUUGAGCCCUGGAUGGUGAGAAGUGGAGGCAGUGAGUACUGACAGCUCUUUGCAGACACUAAUGUGCUUUGAAAAGUAUAAAUCACAUUAUAUGGUAUUGUAAUUAUAUUUUCCUAAAGCAUAACACGUUCUUCCUUAGAACAGUGAUUUCCAAAGUGGAGUACAAGAAGGAAUAGUAGCACUUGCAGAUGCUAAUUUCAUCUAAUAAUGAGAAAAAUUAGCUUUACCAGUUUUUAAUAGAUUGACAGUGGUGCUGUCCCUUGGUCCACGUGGGUAUUUUCAUAAACAGAUUGUAAACAGUGUGGACACUGGUACUGACCUUAUUAGCUUGCUUACUUUCAGUGACAUGUAGUAUGUUCCAUUGAAGCUUAUAUCUGGAUAAGAUGUUGCACAGCUUAUAUGAUCAGGCUUUAAUGAAAUGAACUUUCGAAGAACAGACAUGUUUCUUUAAAAUGUUCCUGUAAUUAAACUGCAUUAUAAAACAAAUUUUAAUAUUUGAACUACAAAGAAGAAGAACAUGCUCCUCCCCCUUCUAGUACAAGUUCUCUGUCAGUCACAUGACCACAUGACACAAUGAUUUAAUCUGAUCAGAAGUUGGCCCAAAGCAUUUGAAACAAUUACAGUGAUUUGAAAUUUCAUCCACUGUUGUUACUAAACUUUGUGGUGUUUGUUUUCUCCUGUGACCAUUGUGCCUUUUGCGAGGUGUAUUUUCCAGUUAUAAAAAUAGCUAUAAAUCCAUUCAAACCAUAUAUUGAGAUAAACUGAACUCAGACGCAGCCUUUAAAUUGCUGUGUCACAAAGUGUUAGGCCAAGGUUUUUAGAAAAACUAAGCAUAAUCAAUACAUUGUUUGCAUCAAAAUUAACAUUAAUUAUUUUAUUGAGGGCAAAAUAAGGUAGUGAAAAAUAACAUUUGUGUAUGUUCUGCGUGAAGUACUACUGUUUAUCACCUUGGUCAGUUUAGUGCAAAGACUGUGAAGAAGGUAAAGUCUGUUUUUGUAUUUCUGGCUCUAGUUCCCAUCAACGCACUUUUCCUGUAUUCUAACCUCCUUUGCUUAUGCUCCUCCCAGUCCAACCCCACACGAGCCUAAUCCUGAGGUCAAUUUUGCUUAUUCCACUAAGCAACUGUGGUAGCUUUGGUGACAAUUCUCAGGCACCCCUAAUGUGUAUAUUCUCCUGCCCUGCUUGGAAGAUUGUAAAUUCAUAGUACACAUGAAAAUCCUUAAAACUCUUUGUAGUCACUGACCCCCAAAUCCCACUUUUAGGAAUUAAUCAUGAGGACAUUUUCAGAGCAGCCUGCAAGAUUUUGCUUUAAAGAUGCCACAUUGCUGAUAAUACAGAAAAAUGGGAAACUAUUUAAAUGCCCAAUAUACAGGGUUAAAUUAUGGUACUUAUGAACAUUGGAUAUUACCCAGCCAUUGGGAAUGAUGUUGUCAGAGAAUAUUUCAUGACCAAACCAUUUAGUGAAAAAGGCAGGAUAUAAAAAUAUGUAUUUGGUUCCAUUUUUUAGGAAAAAUGAAUAUAAAUAGGAAAAAAGACUGGAAGGAUAUACAUGGAAGCAUUAAGAAUCAUUACCUUUUGGUUAGCACAUUACGGAUUUUUAAUUUCUUUUUUGUGUUCACCUAGAUUCCCUACAUUUUCUAGGAGAAACAUAACAAAUAAUAAGGAAAAAUAAAUUACUGGGAAAAAAAAACAAAUCUGUUCUAUCCCCUGUAUUCGCCAUCACUCCCAUGGAAAGAGCAGUUGAGAUGAUUAGGAAGAUACUAGUUUCCAGUGAGCCCAUUACUGACUGCAAGUGGCUGCUAUCCCUGAUGUUCAGGACCCUUUGGAUAAAACCCAGAACCUCUUUUCAGAGCAGAAGGAAGGGCAGUGAGCACAGAAACAUCAGCCACUCUUACUAAGGUCCUGUUUGUGCUGAACAUCCAUCUAGGCUCCUGGAACACAGCAAUAAACAAUAUGAUGUCCCUGACCUUGGAAUUUUACCUUCUAGUGAGAGAAGACAGCCAAUUGAUAAAUAAACCAAGAAAUUUAUGAUUUUCCAGGUGUAAGAAGGUCUAUGGAAAAAAUAUAGCAGGUUAAGAGAGAGAUAGAGAAUGGGGUGUGUGUGUGUUGUGGGCUACAUUAAAUAAGGAGAUAAAGAACGCAGUGCUGGUAAGGUUAUAUCUGGGCAGAGACCUUGAAGAAAUGGGGGAUGAACCCAUGCAGUUAUCUAUCUGGUUAUCUAGUCUGAGGAAGCAGUCAGUGGAAAGGUCCUGAGGCAGAAGCGUGAAUGUCAGGUCUGAGGCACAGAAGGGAGGUUGGUAGACUGAAGGGUGAGCAAAGGUGAAGAGUGACAAGGGCUAGGUCAGGAAGGCUCACAGAGGUCAGAUCAUGGAGAUUCUUGCAGUUCAUAGGAAGGGCUUUAGAUUUUAUUCUGACAAUGAGAUACCAUGGAGCACUUUGUACAGGAGAAUGACAUGAUGUAAUUUAAGUUGUAAAGGGAUCACCCUAACUACUGUGGGGAGAAUGGACUAUGGAGUUACCAGGGUGGAUACAGAGAGCCUAGUCAGAAUACUAGUGUUCAUUCAAAAGAUGAUAGUGAGUUACCAUAUAGUUUAGCAAUUCCAUUUAGAUAUGUACACAAAUCAAAAGUAGAUCCCAGGUACUUGUAUACCAGGUUCCAUAACAGCGUUAUGCACAAAAGCCAAAAGGUUAAAACAACCCAAAUGUCCAUCAACAGAUGAAUGGGUAAAUAAAAUGUGGUAUAGACAUCCAGUGGUCAAAUUAAGAAGAAAAUGAAAUUCUGAUCCUUCUACAAUCUGAAGCUCUAAAACAUUAUGCCAUGUGAAAUAAGCCAGACAAAUAUUGUAUGAUUUGACUAAUAUGAAGUAUCUAGGAAAACCAGAUUCAUAGAGAAAGUGGACUAGAAGU